rnacentral:rRNA from 1 species
AUUGAACGCUGGCGGCAUGCCUUACACAUGCAAGUCGAACGGCAGCACGGGGCAACCUGGUGGCGAGUGGCGAACGGGUGAGUAAUGCAUCGGAACGUACCUUUCAGUGGGGGAUAACGUAGCGAAAGUUACGCUAAUACCGCAUAUUCUGUGAGCAGGAAAGCAGGGGAUCGCAAGACCUUGCGCUGAUUGAGCGGCCGAUGUCAGAUUAGCUAGUUGGUGAGGUAAAGGCUCACCAAGGCGACGAUCUGUAGCGGGUCUGAGAGGAUGAUCCGCCACACUGGAACUGAGACACGGUCCGGACUCCUACGGGAGGCAGCAGUGGGGAAUUUUGGACAAUGGGGGCAACCCUGAUCCAGCCAUGCCGCGUGAGUGAAGAAGGCCUUCGGGUUGUAAAGCUCUUUCGGCCGGGAAGAAAUCGCACGGGCUAAUACCCUGUGUGGACGACGGUACCGGAAUAAGAAGCACCGGCUAACUACGUGCCAGCAGCCGCAGUAACAC